CUUUGCUGCUUUAAAACGAGCCACAGAGGGGGGACGGGGGGUGGUGGAUGGGAGCCAUGUCUCCCCUUCCUUCCCUCCUCUGUGGCUCACUUUAAAGCAGCAAA